rnacentral:rRNA from 1 species
UACGUAGGGCGCAAGCGUUGUCCGGAUUCACUGGGUGUAAAGGGUGCGUAGGCGGGAGAGUAAGUCCGCGGUGAAAUCUCACGGCUUAACCGUGAAACUGCCGUUGAUACUGCUUUUUCUUGAGUUCGGGAGAGGUUGAUGGAAUUCCGGUGGUAGCGGUGGAAAUGCGUAGAGUAUCCGGAAGAACACCGGUGGCGAAGGCGGUCUGCUGGGCAGUUGCUGGACACUGAGGCGCGACAGCGUAGGGAGCAAACAGGA